UCAACAUGGCAGACCUAUGCAACUAACUUAAGCUUAGUACAGAACUCGUUGAGUUUGUUGACA
rnacentral:tRNA from 1 species